GUACCUCUCACCUCUCCCGGCCUCGAGCCAGACAGUAUCUCCUGAAAGCCUGACAGUUAAGCUGCCAGAUUUCUCAAGAGACUUAUCCGGCCGGCUACAGACCCUUUAGACCCAAUAAUAACGGUUACCACUCGAGCCGCCGGUGUUACCGCGGCGGCCGGCACCGGUCUUGCCCGGCCCUUGCUAUGAAAUGCUUUUUAGGCAUCUCGACAGCCAGAUUUGUAACCUGGCACUCGAGGUUCCCUUAUCGCUGUUGCCAGCAUUGUAAAGUUUUCGCGCCUGCUGCACCCCGUAGGGCCUGGAUUCGUGUCUCAGAAUCCAUCUCCGGGCUCUUGCUCUCACAACCCGUACCCGUCGUAGGCUAGUAGGUACGCUACACCCACUACUACCUGAUAGGCCGCAGACCCAUCCUUAGGCGCCGGAGCUUUUAAUCUCGAUGCAUUCCAGCAGCCGAGACCUAUAGGGGAUUAUACCCAGUUUCCCGGGUUUAUACCCAACCUAAGGGCAGGUUGUCCACGUGUUACUGAGCAGUACGCCAUGUAUUGCUACAUUCGACUCGCAUGGCUUAGUCGAACCUCGAUAGCAGUAACCUCUGGCAGGAUCAACCGGA
rnacentral:rRNA from 1 species